rnacentral:rRNA from 1 species
UACAGAGGCCUCGAGCGUUAAUCGGAGUCACUGGGCUUAAAGGGUGCGUAGGCGGGCUCGCAAGUGCUUUGUGAAAUCCCACGGCUCAACCGUGGAAUUGCUCGGCAGACUGCGAGUCUUGAGGUCGGUAGAGGUCGCUGGAACUCUAGGUGGAGCGGUGAAAUGCGUAGAUAUCUAGAGGAACGCCGAUGGUGAAGACAGGCGACUGGGCCGAUUCUGACGCUGAGGCACGAAAGCGUGGGGAGCAAAC